rnacentral:snoRNA from 1 species
UUUUACAGUUACAGACCUGUAAUGAUUUGUGAAAAUGAUCACAAUUAAUUAUGAACAUCUAAGGGACUGAGUUGUU